AUAACAUAGGAUGUGUUAUGUUGUUUGAUACCUUCCAUUAUGCAAUCUUGAUUGAAAUGUGUUCCUUGUUGGAACCUCGUACAUUGUAUUGAUUACUAUGCCUUGAACGUACAGGGGAGACUCUGUACGCAGUACAGGGGAAACCCUAUCCGUUCGGCGAUCUGUUGGCGGUGCCGCGACCCGGCCAAAUAGGCAGGCGGUCGCGGGGUGUGACAGAUAAGAUGGUAUCAGAGCAUAAAAAGAACAUAAAAGAAAUAAUAGAAAAUGAUUUAGUUGGACCUAGG
rnacentral:lncRNA from 1 species